rnacentral:rRNA from 1 species
GUGUCAGCAGCCGCGGUAAUACGUAGGGGGCAAGCGUUAUCCGGAUUUAUUGGGCGUAAAGCGCGCGUAGGCGGCUUGCUAAGCGAGAUGUGAAAACCGGGGGCUCAACCCGCGGCCUGCAUCUCGAACUGGCAGGCUUGAGUCUGGUAGAGGAAAGUGGAAUUCCUGGUGUAGCGGUGAAAUGCGCAGAUAUCAGGAGGAACACCAGUGGCGAAGGCGGCUUUCUGGGCCACGACUGACGCUGAGGCGCGAAAGCUAGGGGAGCAAACAGGAUUAGAAACCCGCGUAGUCC